CUUUUCAGAAAUUGAGGUGAAGGAGUGAAUACCUCCAUAAAUGCAGCACAGCUCCUCCUCCUGCAAAGCCAGGGCCUCCAGGGCUCACUUUACAACACAGCCAUCAAUGGUCGCCCAGGUCUGAGUCGGUGGCUGCACCCUUUCUCCAUUCAGCUCAUCCCUGUGGUCACUUCAUCCACCCACAACUGAGGAACCCCCAGCACAUCCUCGUCUCAGUCACCAUGGAGGCAUCUGGAACCAUGGGCAGAAGUGUACCUGACAUGAUUUAAGUGGUGGUUGGAGACUGAGCAUGCAACUGAAUGAAUGAGACACUUGCGGGAGGGAAUGGGGCUCAAAGGAAAACCCAGGUACAGAAGGGGAGCUGGAGUGGCUCCUGGAACUGAUACAUGAAUUCAGUCAAGUUUCAGGAUACAAAAUCAAUGUACGCAAUCAGUAGCAUUCUUAUACUCCAACAACAUUCUAGCUGAGAAUGAAAGCAAGAACACAAUCACAUUUACAACAGCCACAAAGAAAAUGAAGUACCUAGUAGUUCAUUGACCUGAAGGGAUGAAAGAUCUUUAUAGGAGAACUACAAAACACUGCUAAAAAGAAUAAGACAAAACGCAAAUGAAUGGAAAAAAUAUUUCAUGCACAUGGGU